GAUCAUGGCUCAGGAUGAACGCUAGCUACAGGCUUAACACAUGCAAGUCGAGGGGCAGCAUGGUCUUAGCUUGCUAAGGCCGAUGGCGACCGGCGCACGGGUGAGUAACACGUAUCCAACCUGCCGUCUACUCUUGGACAGCCUUCUGAAAGGAAGAUUAAUACAAGAUGGCAUCAUGAGUCCGCAUGUUCACAUGGAUUUAAAAGGGUAUUCCGGUAGACGAUGGGGG
rnacentral:rRNA from 1 species